rnacentral:rRNA from 1 species
UAACCUGCUAAAUAGCCCGACUAGCUUUGGCUGGCUGCUGGCUUCUUAGAGGGACAUUUGGCUCAAGCCAAUGGAAGUUUGAGGCAAUAACAGGUCUGUUAUGCCCUUAGAUGUUCUGGGCCGCACGCGCGCUACACUGACAGAGCCAGCGGGUUUCUUUCCUGAACUGAAAAGUUUAGGUAAACCUAGAAACUCUGUCGUGCUGGGGAUAGAGCAUUGCAAUUAUUGCUCUUCAACGAGGAAUGCCUAGUAAGUGCAUGUCAUCAGCAUGCGCUGAUUACGUCCCUGCCCUUUGUACACACCGCCCGUCGCU